rnacentral:rRNA from 1 species
GACGAAGGGGGCUAGCGUUGCUCGGAAUUACUGGGCGGAAAGGGCUCGUAGGCGGCCAACUAAGUCAGACGUGAAAUCCCUCGGCUUAACCGGGGAACUGCGUCUGAUACUGGAUGGCUUGAGUUUGGGAGAGGGAUGCGGAAUUCCAGGUGUAGCGGUGAAAUGCGUAGAUAUCUGGAGGAACACCGGUGGCGAAGGCGGCAUCCUGGACCAACACUGACGCUGAGUGAGCGAAAGCCAGGGGAGCAAACGGG